ACAGAUCCAUCUUUAAAAUGAUACCAGGUUCGGAAAAAUUGAUACGUCGGAAAGGCAAGAAAAAUGCUGUUAAAGUUGUCAGUUUUAUAAUGGGACCCUAUGGGAAUCGGAAUUAGUGUAAUAUAACCUUUAAAAAGCACAUUUACUGCAAUGUCAAGGUCACAUGGAUUCGUCUGCAAGCGAGACAAGUAGAAAUGAAUUUUAAUGAAUGUUUUGAUGAUUUGGGUGCUAAAAUAGAUGAGAGAUGUCAAUAUUUUGGUCCAAAUGGAUGUUUUUGGUGGUUUUGGACUCUUCUGGAUGGGUGGGGGACCUGGUAUGGACAAGCCUGACCGUUUGUCCUUGAGCCGUAGAUGGUCAACAAUCCGCUAGCUGUCUUGCUCUGACUGGUGCACUGGACAUGAUUUCAAUAGUUAGCCAGACCAUGAUUGAGCUUAAGGAUUGUGCUGCGGAUGCAGCCUGUGCAGUUCCGGGAGAAAGUCACUGUCUUGGGCAAUGCGGUCUGGUAUCAGGUCUGGAUGAUCAUUGCCUGACUGCGGGUUUGUGUACACCUCAAUCCGACUCUGUGUCCUGAACAGAGGCCGCAGUGGUGCAGCGCUUGUGGACGUUCCAUCAACAUCCUGAAAGGUCAACACUACACCAAGCUGGGAAAAUUGAUCCUGAUAGUCAUCCCCAGGCCUGACCGUUUGUCCUUGAGCCGUAGAUGGUCAACAAUCCGCUAGCUGUCUUGCUCUGACUGGUGCACUGGACAUGAUUUCAAUAGUUAGCCAGACCAUGAUUGAGCUUAAGGAUUGUGCUGCGGAUGCAGCCUGUGCAGUUCCGGGAGAAAGUCACUGUCUUGGGCAAUGCGGUCUGGUAUCAGGUCUGGAUGAUCAUUGCCUGACUGCGGGUUUGUGUACACCUCAAUCCGACUCUGUGUCCUGAACAGAGGCCGCAGUGGUGCAGCGCUUGUGGACGUUCCAUCAACAUCCUGAAAGGUCAACACUACACCAAGCUGGGAAAAUUGAUCCUGAUAGUCAUCCCCAGGCCUGACCGUUUGUCCUUGAGCCGUAGAUGGUCAACAAUCCGCUAGCUGUCUUGCUCUGACUGGUGCACUGGACAUGAUUUCAAUAGUUAGCCAGACCAUGAUUGAGCUUAAGGAUUGUGCUGCGGAUGCAGCCUGUGCAGUUCCGGGAGAAAGUCACUGUCUUGGGCAAUGCGGUCUGGUAUCAGGUCUGGAUGAUCAUUGCCUGACUGCGGGUUUGUGUACACCUCAAUCCGACUCUGUGUCCUGAACAGAGGCCGCAGUGGUGCAGCGCUUGUGGACGUUCCAUCAACAUCCUGAAAGGUCAACACUACACCAAGCUGGGAAAAUUGAUCCUGAUAGUCAUCCCCAGGUAGUGGAAUGAAUGUACACUGAACUACAGAGGAAUCACACCCAAAUGACUUUCCUGCCACGACAUUAGUGUGGCCACUCGCGUAGGAAUUCCUUAGCAAACGUGCUCUUUUGCAUGGUGACUGUGGGCAUUUUUGCAAAACUUACGCUUUCAACACUGGAUUUUAAAGAGAAUACUUAAUCAAAUGUCGCUAACAGGACUUAUUUAUAUGAGAGAGACUAUCUGGAUGCGCAUUAAGUGUCACUUUGUGUCGUAAGCUGUUGAAGGAGCGCUUUGCGCCUUUUUAAGUGUUAAUUUUGGGUAGCCGGCUUGUAUCGGCUUGAAAGCUGCAAAUUAUGCCUCUCAUCAUAAUAGCAUUAAUUUUUGUAAUUGCAAUGUGUAUGUUUAGAUUGUAAGUGAAGCUUUUAAUAAUAAUUUUCUUAAAAAACAUGAUUUUAUAUGCUGUCAGUGAGUUUUUUAUUGAAAAAAAUGCUUAAAAUUAAAAAAAAGUCUCCUAUUUCAUCAAGACAAGUACACUGAUUCACAAUCAAUACAUUUAUUUGGGCCUUUUGCUGAUAUAUUGGUGAAUUUCGCAUGCAAUGAUACCAGUUUUUGCCAUAAAAGUUACGCGUAACAAUAAUUGGAGACACAAAAUCAGCUGUCGUCACUUAGACUAAAAAUCAUGCAUUCCGACUUGACUGCGGCCAAUUUAGUCACCGCUUUAAAUGGCCAUUUUAAGGCCUUUACCCCCCAUCCGAAUGCACUGAAAUUGCAUAUUCAUUGUGGAAAUAGUUGAAAUCUCAUGUGGAGAAAGUUUGAAAAAGAUGGGACAAAGUUGAGUUCCCUUAAAGGUUACAUUACACUAAAUCAUUGUGUAUCCCUCCGUGGUCCAUUCGAAAGUAGUGCCUAUUUCUAAAGAGUUCCUUUUCUCUUCUUGAAUAUAAGCCAUUUAACAAUGUGAGACAUGUCUUUUGUGGUUAUUUGUAAUAUCCUGUAUGUGUCUUGAGUACUUUGAUGCCUUGGAUUGGAAGCUAACUUAAAAGAUGAACUUUUGAGGGUGUGUUUUCUAUUGUGUGGGGCUUUUGUCGAAAUUAGGAUUCCGAAACGCGUUUUUCUACGGUGGGUUCAUUCGACAGCGAUUUACUUUCUUAGAAGUUGCGAGACGGUAUGUUUUUGAUUGCAAUUAUUGGAAGAUGACAGAUCCAUCUUUAAAAUGAUACCAGGUUCGGAAAAAUUGAUACGUCGGAAAGGCAAGAAAAAUGCUGUUAAAGUUGUCAGUUUUAUAAUGGGACCCUAUGGGAAUCGGAAUUAGUGUAAUAUAACCUUUAAAAAGCACAUUUACUGCAAUGUCAAGGUCACAUGGAUUCGUCUGCAAGCGAGACAAGUAGAAAUGAAUUUUAAUGAAUGUUUUGAUGAUUUGGGUGCUAAAAUAGAUGAGAGAUGUCAAUAUUUUGGUCCAAAUGGAUGUUUUUGGUGGUUUUGGACUCUUCUGGAUGGGUGGGGGACCUGGUAUGGACAAGCCUGACCGUUUGUCCUUGAGCCGUAGAUGGUCAACAAUCCGCUAGCUGUCUUGCUCUGACUGGUGCACUGGACAUGAUUUCAAUAGUUAGCCAGACCAUGAUUGAGCUUAAGGAUUGUGCUGCGGAUGCAGCCUGUGCAGUUCCGGGAGAAAGUCACUGUCUUGGGCAAUGCGGUCUGGUAUCAGGUCUGGAUGAUCAUUGCCUGACUGCGGGUUUGUGUACACCUCAAUCCGACUCUGUGUCCUGAACAGAGGCCGCAGUGGUGCAGCGCUUGUGGACGUUCCAUCAACAUCCUGAAAGGUCAACACUACACCAAGCUGGGAAAAUUGAUCCUGAUAGUCAUCCCCAGGUAGUGGAAUGAAUGUACACUGAACUACAGAGGAAUCACACCCAAAUGACUUUCCUGCCACGACAUUAGUGUGGCCACUCGCGUAGGAAUUCCUUAGCAAACGUGCUCUUUUGCAUGGUGACUGUGGGCAUUUUUGCAAAACUUACGCUUUCAACACUGGAUUUUAAAGAGAAUACUUAAUCAAAUGUCGCUAACAGGACUUAUUUAUAUGAGAGAGACUAUCUGGAUGCGCAUUAAGUGUCACUUUGUGUCGUAAGCUGUUGAAGGAGCGCUUUGCGCCUUUUUAAGUGUUAAUUUUGGGUAGCCGGCUUGUAUCGGCUUGAAAGCUGCAAAUUAUGCCUCUCAUCAUAAUAGCAUUAAUUUUUGUAAUUGCAAUGUGUAUGUUUAGAUUGUAAGUGAAGCUUUUAAUAAUAAUUUUCUUAAAAAACAUGAUUUUAUAUGCUGUCA